CAUCAGAGCACCGUGUGUUGUAGAAUACAAAUUUCUUUCUGUGGCUUCUCCGGCAAAAAGAACCUGCAAAGGCUGAAUGACAAAGAAGAAAUAACCCCACCGCUUAUCUUUCUUAAAGUCUUUAUCAGUUAUCUACGAUCUGACUGACGCAGAAGAGCUGAAACAUAUGCGUUCAUUUACGUCAUGCAUCUGUAGCCUGAUCGGGCGCCGCAGACCCCAAGAUAUGUUCAGAAGUCCCUGUACCACCAGCUCUCCAUCAUCCUGAGUACAUGUGGGAGAAGCAACAAAAC